rnacentral:lncRNA from 1 species
GUCGCUUUCCCCAGCGUCAUGAGGACAACCCUCCCUGCCCCUGCCCAGAGGAAGAGAGUAACAUGAAUACAAGUCGAAGCAUGGGCUGCGUUUCCAUCUUUCCCCUGCACAUGUAGACUCCUUAACAGAAAUAUGCCCUCAAGGAAUGACCAAAAGGGGAGGAGAAUGAUCCACAGACGACAGCAGCAUGCAGACCAGGAUUCCUAGAGGAAGCAAGGCCCUAAAGAUCAAACCCUGCAUAGAUGUUAGCUACCAUGAUAACGUCAUUGAUGGAAGACAGGAAAGAGAAUGGAAAGAAAUGAAGACCUGGAAAGAAGGGUCCCACUUAAGGAAAGCCAGAGAUUCCACAAGGCUUAUUGGACACGUGUACUCAGAAGAGCACUGGAAAUCCUUAGACCUGUUCUUCAGACCUUAAAGCAAGUCUCCCAGUACAACACAAGUGAAGAUAAUUCAUAAAAGCACUGUUUUCAGAGUUUGAGGGACAAGGAGAAAAAGCAUUGAGGGCAUGGUACUAAAUCUUGCCAAGAGCUUUCAGUACGUGCACCUCACAUGUUGAGAGGCCGUGAGAUGUCAUCAUGGUGACAAGACAUGGCAUCUCCUCAGAAAUCUGAAUGUCAGUCAGCAAACGUCUCCUCCUUCCAGCUGCAGUCUUCCCUUCUUCUGUUCCUCCCCUACUCACAGAACCCUCAGUUCUUAACUAAAUC